rnacentral:ncRNA from 1 species
ACACUUUAUACCGCGUUAGGUUCCCAGAAACUGGGAUCAAAAGGGAACCCGGAAGUGAAUUGAAAUUCACGAACCGGGGCUGCCCCCGCAACUGUAACCGACGAGUGCUGGCCAAGAAUGCCACUGGGUAAUACCGGGAAGGCGGCCAGGCAUAACGACUCGGAAGCCAGGAAACCUGCCUAUCGCAGUCUGUCCUU